AGUGAACGCUGGCGGUAGGCCUAACACAUGCAAGUCGAACGGCAGCACAGUAAGAGCUUGCUCUUACGGGUGGCGAGUGGCGGACGGGUGAGGAAUACAUCGGAAUCUACUUUUUCGUGGGGGAUAACGUAGGGAAACUUACGCUAAUACCGCAUACGACCUACGGUUGAAAGCAGGGGAUCUUCGGACCUUGCGCGAUUGAAUGAGCCGAUGUCGGAUUAGCUAGUUGGCGGGGUAAAGGCCCACCAAGGCGACGAUCCGUAGCUGGUCUGAGAGGAUGAUCAGCCACACUGGAACUGAAACACGGUCCAGACGCCUAAGGGAGGCAGCAGUGGGGAAUAUUGGACAAUGGGCGCAAGCCUGAUCCAACCAUACCGCGUGGGUGAAGAAGGCCUUCGGGUUGUAAAGCCCUUUUGUUGGGAAAGAAAAGCAGCAGGUUAAUACCCAGCUGUUCUGACGGUACCCAAAGAAUAAGCACCGGCUAACUUCGUG
rnacentral:rRNA from 1 species